GCAUUAAUGGGGUAGUGGUAACCUGGGUCGUUGCCAUCAUGAUUAAUUCGUACAGUCGUUAGUUCGACCCGCCGGGGGUUCGAUUCCCUCUUAAUGCA